rnacentral:rRNA from 1 species
GGGUUUAGAACGUCGUGAGACAGUUCGGUCCCUAUCUGCCGUGGGCGUUGGAGAAUUGAGGGAAGCUGCUCCUAGUACGAGAGGACCGGAGUGGACGAACCUCUGGUGUUCCGGUUGUGUCGCCAGACGCAUUGCCGGGUAGCUACGUUCGGACGGGAUAACCGCUGAAAGCAUCUAAGCGGGAAGCCCCUCCCAAGAAUAGUUCUCCCUGUCCCUUGAGGACUCUGAAGAGCCGUCCAAGACUAGGACGUUGAUAGGCUGGGUGUGGAAGCGCUGUAAAGCGUUGAGCUAACCAGUACUAAUUGCUCGUGAGGCUUGACCAU